AAGACAGAUGCUCAACCACUGAGCCACUGGGGUGCCCCCACAUUUUACCUUUUUGCUUCAGAUCAGUUGAAAAAAGUCUCAAGUAGGAAAAACCAAAUGCAACUCUUUCCAUAUUUGUUCUCACCAGGGCUCGGAAAAUCCCCAGGUGUUCAGGGUGGCCCACCGGCUAGCCUCUCCCAGUAACCGCCAUGCCGGAAGGGUGGCCAGGGAAGGCAUCUGUGUGCAGAGAGCCAGCUAGAAGGACAGGACCUGUGAUUCCAGAGACUUCUGAGCUGGCACAGAAUGACCUCACUUGACUUUUCCUGGGUACUAGUCUAGGCUUCCAGGAUACAGUGAACGAAAACGGUUGAGAAUUCCCUGCUCUCAUGAGGCUUACAUUCUAGUGGCUGAAGAAUAAAAUGUACAAACCUGUAUUUGAGACAAUGAAUAUGAAGGGAAUUUGUAAGCUGUGCAUGCUAUGGACAAUGAAGGAUUCUAUGCAUGAAGAAGUGGUGAUAAUACAACAAUACAGCAGCUGCAGCAAGCCGAUGUCUACUUCCAAGAAAGAUGACUGCCUUGCACCGUCUUCUAAGAAAUCAGCAUUUUAACUGAUGACUUUUAGAAACCACUGUGUUUGGAAGCUCCAAGAAGUGCAUUGCCAAAGGUAAUUGGGAGCAACAGAAGAACCAUGGACUUGUACACUUAAGAAGACUUGGGAUCCCUGGGUGGCGCAGCGGUUUGGUGCCUACCUUUGGCCCAGGGCGCGAUCCUGGAGACCCGGGGUCGAAUCCCACGUCGGGCUCCCGGUGCAUGGAGCCUGCUUC